AACCUCUCAACCAGAUCAAACAAAAUGGAGGAACUGGAAUGUAUCAUGUCUUGUGUGCUUCCCUUCAGUCUGCAGAGAUCUCAGCUUAUAUGACCUAUCUGCAAAUCCUACACAACCUUUGCUGUCUACCACUUAUUCUAACCUGAAGAUUUCUUUGCACUGAGCUCGGAGCCUUACAUUUACAGUUUGGAUCAUUCGUCCUGGUCUAGUUUGUCACAAUCGUCGAAAAGUUCUGCUCUAGGUGACUUUGACAGUGUCAGCUCAGUCAGCGCCAAAGCAAAUGCAAGGGUAUUCCUUCAAUGUCACAGCAGAGGUCAUUGACAGGGCAACACGGAGAAGACCGCUUUUGAAGAGUGAGCUAAAGUUUUCCAUCAUGCACAUCCAACAACUUUUCUCAAGCACUCUGAGGGAAAAUAUUUUUAACCCUUUUGUAAUCAUCAAACGCAAAUGCAAAAAUAUCCACUUAAAACAUUUAGCAUAAGCAAUAGGAUAUGAUGUCUGCAAGAAUAAGCAUAUGACAUACUAGUCCCACUGUUAUGGUAACAGACAGAACGAUGCAUCAUUUUUGCAUUUUGAAAAUAAAUAUUUGUGACUGCUAAUCUAUUCCGUAAAG
rnacentral:lncRNA from 1 species